rnacentral:rRNA from 1 species
GACGAACGCUGGCGGCGUGCUUAACACAUGCAAGUCGAACGGAAAGGCCUGCUUUCCCUUGUGUAUUGCGGGUACUCGAGUGGCGAACGGGUGAGUAACACGUGAGUGAUCUGCCCCCAACUUGGGUAUAAGCCUGGGAAACUGGGUCUAAUUCCCGAUAGGACUGCAGGGUGGUGCCUGUGGUGGAAAACGAUUUUCUAGUGGUUGGGGAUGAGCUCGCGGCCUAUCAGCUUGUUGGUGGGGUAAUGGCCUACCAAGGCGGCGACGGGUAGCCGGCCUGAGAGGGUGGACGGCCACAUUGGGACUGAGAUACGGCCCAGACUCCUACGGGAGGCAGCAGUGGGGAAUAUUGCACAAUGGGCGGAAGCCUGAUGCAGCGACGCCGCGUGGGGGAUGACGGCCUUCGGGUUGUAAACUCCUUUCGACCGCGAGGAAGCCACCUGGUUGGAAGGGUGGUGACGGUAGUGGUAGAAGAAGCACCGGCUAACUACGUG